CGUCUCUGCCUUAGAUCCUUUGUCAGGAAAGGGGGAUUGGUACUCCUCUCCCUUUUUCUGGGUAGCAUCUCGUGUGCUGUGUGGUUGACAGAGCUUGAGUCAUUCAGAGACAAGAAUACCUAUACCUCCAUUCACGAUCCCAUUUGCGUUUGAACGUUCUUUGGUCUCUUGGGGCCAUGGAAUUUAACGAUCAUUCGUUGGAUUCAUUUGGGGACAUU
rnacentral:snoRNA from 1 species